UCUGGCGUGCUCAGUGCGUCCGAGUUGUAAUCUAUAGAGUCGUUUUCCGUGCCGGACUGUGUCCAAGUCCCUUGGAACAGGGUAUCAAAGAGGGUGAUAAUCCCGUACUUGACACAAUGACCGGUGCUCUGUGAUACGUCUUCUACGAGUCGAGUUGUUUGGGAAUGCAGCUCAAAAUGGGUGGUGAGUUCCAUCUAAAGCUAAAUAUUGGCGAGAGACCGAUAGCGAACAAGUACCGUGAGGGAAAGAUGAAAAGCACUUUGGAAAGAGAGUUAAACAGUACGUGAAAUUGUUAAAAGGGAAACGAUUGAAGUCAGUCGUGACUGAGAGGCUCAGCCGGUUCUGCCGGUGUAUUCCCCUCAGUCGGGUCAACAUCAGUUUUGUUCGGUGGAUAAGGGCAGUUGGAAGGUGGCACCCUCGGGUGUGUUAUAGCCAGCUGUCGCAUACAUCGGAUGAGACUGAGGAAUGCAGCUCGCCUUUAUGGCCGGGGUUCGCCCACGUUCGAGCUUAGGAUGUUGACAUAAUGGCUUUAAACGACCCGUCUUGAAACACG
rnacentral:rRNA from 1 species